rnacentral:lncRNA from 1 species
UUUAUGACCAGCAAUACAUUAAAGAGACAGAAAUUUUCGUCUCUCUUAAACACAGAGUAACUGAUUACGAGGUGUAGUCGAGUUGAGCCACCAUGCAGACUUGGUGUUCAAGUGUGUGAUUUUCACAAGCGUGGGUCUUCUAGUGUGACAUUUCAAGUUGAUUGCGAAAUUUGUGAUAGGAAGGAGAAAAAUGUAUAAAAGAUCGAUUUUAUUUGUGAUAUUUUCUGUGAGAAGAGAAGUUUCCAUCUGUAACAGUGGAGUGCUCUUUCUUGUCCAAGAAACCCCCACUCUUGGAGAAUGCAGCUUGAGAAGAGUUUGUUAUGAUUCUUAAGGGAGUGGCUGGUUGUGGUUUU